GGGAGAGAGAGAGGGAUAAGUGAGAAAGAACAAAAAGAAGAUCCUUCAGUACUUCCCCUAUCAUUUCCGUUUUCACUUGUUGGUUGGUCGGUUUUGCCUUCCUCCGCCUUUAUCUCAUUUUAUGUCACUUUCCCUCUCCA
rnacentral:miRNA from 1 species